rnacentral:rRNA from 1 species
AGUCGAGGGGUAACAGGGAGUGCUUGCACUCCGCUGACGACCGGCGAACGGGUGCGUAACGCGUAUGCAACCUACCUAUUACAGGGAGAUAGCCAAAAGAAAUUUUGAAUAAUAUCCCAUAAGAUCAUUUUACUACAUGGUAUCAUGAUGAAAACUUCGGUGGUAAUAGAUGGGCAUGCGUCCUAUUAGUUUGUUGGUAAGGUAAUGGCUUACCAAGACUACGAUAGGUAGGGGUCCUGAGAGGGAGAUCCCCCACACUGGUACUGAGACACGGACCAGACUUCUACGGGAGGCAGCAGUAAGGAAUAUUGGACAAUGGAGGAAACUCUGAUCCAGCCAUGUCGCGUGCAGGAAGAAUGCCUUAUGGGUUGUAAACUGCUUUUUUAAAGGAAGAAAUACUCAUUCGUGAAUGGGUUUGACGGUACUUUAAGAAUAAGGAUCGGCUAACUCCGUGCCAGCAGCCGCGGUAAUACGGAGGAUCCAAGCGUUAUCCGGAAUUAUUGGGUUUAAAGGGUCCGCAGGCGGUUUGUUAAGUCAGAGGUGAAAUCCUACCGCUCAACGGUAGAACUGCCUUUGAUACUGGCAAACUUGAGUUAUUGUGAAGUAAUUAGAAUGUGUAGUGUAGCGGUGAAAUGCUUAGAUAUUACACAGAAUACCGAUUGCGAAGGCAGAUUACUAACAAUUAACUGACGCUCAGGGACGAAAGCGUGGGUAGCGAACAGGAUUAGAUACCCUGGUAGUCCACGCCGUAAACUAUGGUCACUAGCUGUUUGGCCUGCAUUGGUAGGCUGAGUGGCUAAGCGAAAGUGAUAAGUGACCCACCUGGGGAGUAC